GACGAACGCUGGCGGCGUGCCUAAUACAUGCAAGUAGAACGCUGAAGGAGGAGCUUGCUUCUCUGGAUGAGUUGCGAACGGGUGAGUAACGCGUAGGUAACCUGCCUGGUAGCGGGGGAUAACUAUUGGAAACGAUAGCUAAUACCGCAUAACAGUAGAUAUCGCAUGAUAUCUACUUGAAAGGUGCAAUUGCAUCACUACCAGAUGGACCUGCGUUGUAUUAGCUAGUUGGUGAGGUAACGGCUCACCAAGGCGACGAUACAUAGCCGACCUGAGAGGGUGAUCGGCCACACUGGGACUGAGACACGGCCCAGACUCCUACGGGAGGCAGCAGUAGGGAAUCUUCGGCAAUGGACGGAAGUCUGACCGAGCAACGCCGCGUGAGUGAAGAAGGGUUUCGGAUCGUAAAGCUCUGUUGUAAGAGAAGAACGAGUGUGAGAGUGGAAAGUUCACACUGUGACGGUAUCUUACCAGAAAGGGACGGCUAACUACGCG
rnacentral:rRNA from 1 species